rnacentral:other from 1 species
AGGGAUCUAAAGUACACGUGAUUCUUUUUAUGUGCUGACCGAACAAUGACUAUCUAGGGAAUUGUGAACGUCUACAUAAGUAACGCCUUUUAUAGAAGGACUACUGAAGUCGGCUAUAUCAGUACCCACCUACUAUCACGUGGGUUCAGACAGAUAGAGUUUUAACGGUACACUUGGAAACCUG